rnacentral:rRNA from 1 species
UCCGUAGGCGGGCUAAUAAGUCAGGGGUGAAAUCCCACAGCUUAACUGUGGAACUGCCUUUGAUACUGUUAGUCUUGAGUUAUAUGGAAGUAGAUAGAAUGUGUAGUGUAGCGGUGAAAUGGAUAGAUAUUACACAGAAUACCGAUUGCGAAGGCAGUCUACUACGUAUAUACUGACGCUAAUGGACGAAAGCGUGGGGAGCGAACAGGAUUAGAUACCCUGGUAGUCC